UCAAGCUACAAAGAGCACAAGGGGAAUGCCUUGGCACCGAGAGCCGAAGAAGGACGUGACUAACUGCGAUAAGCUGCGGGGAGCCGUAAGUAGGCUUUGAUCCGCAGAUUUCCGAAUGGAGCAAUCCGGCAAGAGGAAAGUCUUGUCAUCAUAUACUGAAUACAUAGGUAUAUGAGGGGAACCGCCUGAACUGAAACAUCUAAGUAGGGCGAGGAAGAGAAAUCAACUGAGAUUCCGUAAGUAGUGGCGAGCGAACGCGGAAGAGGCCAAACCGAGAGUAGUAAUACUUUCGGGGUUCGGACAGAAAACGGUAUUGUAAAGGUUUAGUGGAAUGGAAUGGGAAGUCCAACCGAAGAAGGUGAGAGUCCUGUACACGAAAAGCCUGAACAGCCAUCUGUAUCCAGAGUACCGCCGGACACGUGAAACCCGGUGGGAAUAUGGGGGGACCAUCCUCCAAGCCUAAAUACUACUCGGUGACCGAUAGUGAAGAAGUACUGUGAAGGAAAGGUGAAAAGUACCCCUGACGGGGAGUGAAAAAGAACCUGAAACCUUGUGUUUACAAGCACCGAAAGCUCAUCAAAGAGCGAUCGGGUACCUUUUGUAGAAUGGUCCGGCGAGUGAAUGUAACCGGCGAGGUUAAGCACUUAAGGUGUGAAGCCGCAGCGAGAGCAAGUCUGAAUAGGGCGUAUGAAGUCGGUUGUAUUCGACCCGAAACCGGGUGACCUACCCAUGGUCAGGUUGAAGUAAAGGUAAAACUUUAUGGAGGACCGAACCGACUCCCGUUGAAAUGGUAGCGGAUGAACUGUGGGUAGCGGAGAAAUUCCAAUCGAACCCGGAGAUAGCUGGUUCUCCCCGAAAUAGUUUUAGGACUAGCCUCAAGUUAGAUACCUGGAGGUAAAGCACUGAAUAGCCUAGCGGCCGAGAGGUUAGCGAAGCUUAUCAAACUCAGAAUGCCAGAGUAUUGAUGCUUGGGAGUCAGACAGUGUCAGAUAAAUGUCAUUGUCAAAAGGGAAACAGCCCAGAUCUACAGCUAAGGUCCCAAAGUCAGGUUAAGUGGAAAACGAUGUGAAGAUACGCAGACAACCAGGAUGUUGGCUCAGAAGCAGCCACUCAUUCAAAGAGUGCGUAAUAGCUCACUGGUCGAGCGUCUUUGCGCGGAGAAUUUAACGGGGCUAAACCUGACACCGAAGCUUAGGCAAUACAGCAAUGUAUUGGGUAGGGGAGCGUUGUAUACGCGGUGAAACAGUAGCGCAAGCGGCUGUGGAGUGUAUAGAAGUGAGAAUGCCGGAAUGAGUAGCGCGAAUGCAGUGAGAAUCUGCAUGGCCGAAAGCCUCAGGUUUCUGGAGGAAGGUUCGUCCGCUCCAGGUUAGUCGGGAGCUAAGGUGAGGCCUAACGGCGUAGCCGAUGCACAGACGGUAGAGAUUCCGUCACCACCAAAAGAGUUAAGCACAGGGACACAUUUGAAGUCUCAGAGCCGGGUGUUGGUUCCGGUAGAGAUCGAGGGAAAUUAGUACCGAAGUCUGAGAUGGAAGAUGGCGAGAAAAGCUGUGUGUAUUUCUGAGGUGCCCGUACCGCAAACCGACACAGGUAGGUAGGAAGAAGAUUCUAAGGCCAACGGGAGAAGGGUUGUUAAGGAACUCGGCAAAUUGACCCCGUAACUUCGGGAGAAGGGGUGCUCCAGAGAUGGAGCCGCAGAGAAUCGGCCCAAGCAACUGUUUACCAAAAACACAGGUUUGUGCUAAAUCGAAAGAUGACGUAUACGAGCUGACGCCUGCCCGGUGCUGGAAGGUUAAGAGGAGAUGUGCAAGCAUUGAAUCGAAGCCCCAGUGAACGGCGGCCGUAACUAUAACGGUCCUAAGGUAGCGAAAUUCCUUGUCAGGUAAG
rnacentral:rRNA from 1 species